rnacentral:rRNA from 1 species
GACGAACGCUGGCGGCGUGCUUAACACAUGCAAGUCGAACGGGAAGGCCUCUUUCGGGGGGUACUCGAGUGGCGAACGGGUGAGUAACACGUGAGUAACCUGCCCUUGACUUUGGGAUAACUUCAGGAAACUGGGGCUAAUACCGGAUAGGAGCUCCUGCUGCAUGGUGGGGGUUGGAAAGUUUCGGCGGUUGGGGAUGGACUCGCGGCUUAUCAGCUUGUUGGUGGGGUAGUGGCUUACCAAGGCUUUGACGGGUAGCCGGCCUGAGAGGGUGACCGGCCACAUUGGGACUGAGAUACGGCCCAGACUCCUACGGGAGGCAGCAGUGGGGAAUAUUGCACAAUGGGUGGAAGCCUGAUGCAGCAACGCCGUGUGCGGGAUGACGGCCUUCGGGUUGUAAACCGCUUUCGCUCAUGACGAAGCUUUGUGUGACGGUAGUGGGUAAAGAAGCACCGGCUAACUACGU